rnacentral:rRNA from 1 species
AACGAACGCUGGCGGCAUGCCUAACACAUGCAAGUCGAACGAGACCUUCGGGUCUAGUGGCGCACGGGUGCGUAACGCGUGGGAACCUGCCCUUAGGUUCGGAAUAACUCCCCGAAAGGGGUGCUAAUACCAGAUAAUGUCUUCGGACCAAAGAUUUAUCGCCUUUGGAUGGGCCCGCGUUGGAUUAGCUAGUUGGUAGGGUAAAAGCCUACCAAGGCGACGAUCCAUAGCUGGUCUGAGAGGAUGAUCAGCCACACUGGGACUGAGACACGGCCCAGACUCCUACGGGAGGCAGCAGUGGGGAAUAUUGGACAAUGGGCGAAAGCCUGAUCCAGCAAUACCGCGUGAGUGAUGAAGGCCUUAGGGUUGUAAAGCUCUUUUACCCGGGAUGAUAAUGACAGUACCGGGAGAAUAAGCUCCGGCUAACUCCGUG